GACGAACGCUGGCGGCGUGCUUAACACAUGCAAGUCGAACGGAAAGGCCCUGCUUUUGUUGGGUGCUCGAGUGGCGAACGGGUGAGUAACACGUGAGUAACCUGCCCUUGACUUUGGGAUAACUUCAGGAAACUGGGGCUAAUACCGGAUAGGAGCUCCUGCUGCAUGUUGGGGGUUGGAAAGUUUCGGCGGUUGGGGAUGGACUCGCGGCUUAUCAGCUUGUUGGUGGGGUAGUGGCUUACCAAGGCUUUGACGGGUAGCCGGCCUGAGAGGGUGACCGGCCACAUUGGGGCUGAGAUACGGCCCAGACUCCUACGGGAGGCAGCAGUGGGGAAUAUUGCACAAUGGGCGGAAGCCUGAUGCAGCAACGCCGCGUGCGGGAUGACGGCCUUCGGGUUGUAAACCGCUUUCGCCUGUGACGAAGCGUGAGUGACGGUAAUGGGUAAAGAAGCACCGGCUAACUACGUG
rnacentral:rRNA from 1 species